GCUAAAGUAGCUCAGUUCAGCGCAUUAGACUGAAGAUCUAAAGGUCCCUGGUUCAAUCCCAGGCUUUGGCA